UUUCACGGGGGAAUUUCGUGCAGAAAAGUGAGGAACCAGGUGUUGUUUACUCUACAAACGUCUAUCACUGAUGCAGAAACAACAUGGCGUCCUCUGACAAUUGAGCUGUUUUUCUCAGAAAACUGAAAUCCUUCCCCGCCCAUUGGAAGAUGUUCUUUCAGAGUUGUGUGUCCACGUUUGACACUGCUGUGUGUUGUGUUAAUAGUAAAAUAAGCAGCAAAAUUACACUUUUUGUGUCAUAAAAGUUUUCAUUUAAAGCAGUAUUGAAGCAACACAAUGUGCAAAUACAUGUAAUACAUAUCUCGUCCAGCAGGGGGAGCUACUGGUUUGUUCCCAGUUUGUCCACCAUGUGUGGCUAAAAGGGAGCCGAGCCGCGCUAGACAACCCACGGCGGCGAAUUUAAUUCUCUGCCAGGGUGGGUCUAGUUACCCUCC